CUCAGGUCAGACUCAGAGAGCAACAAUUUCAAUCGGUCCAGAGCUACAUGACAUAAAGAAAGAGGCUUCACCGGAGGCAGAAGGUAUGAGACAGUCAGCCCCUGUGGUGCCCCUCGACCUCAGUCUGGGGGACCUGACCCUCAUGCCCCGAGGACUGGUCAUCGCCCCGCACCAAUGACAAUAGGAUUUGGCAAGACAGCACAAACAGAUCUGUGACCUGUGGGGUAUACUACAAAACAGGUUCAAUGAGUUAGCCAGCUAACUUGCCUAAAUAUUCUGGGAAAAGGUAGAUUAGUAGACUAUAGAGUCAGGACCCUAGAUAAAGGUAGAAUAGACUCUUGUAAUUAAAAUAUAUAUAUAUGCUUGAAAUUGGCAUGGUCUAAUUGACUCAACAACCAAAACACAUAUCUAAGUUUAGAACCAGAAAAUCCAUAAUUAUUUCUGGUUGUUUAUCAAAGUUAGCAGGCUAACUCAUUGAACCUGCUUUGUAGUACACCCAACAGGUGUCCUAUGUUCUGCUCUUGCAUAGUCUGCCAAAGUAAUGCUGAUUGUCUAGCUCCGGGCUCCACAUCACCAACGCUGCCUUGUCAUUGACUAUAUUGGCCACUAGAUGGCAGUAUAAGACAUGAGGUUAGUCUUGAUAAUGACAGGUGACGUGCUCCCGUAUCAUGUACUGUUAAAAAAGGGUUUUAUGGCUCAUGGAAGGGGACACGUUCCCGUAUCUGAAAUUAUUUAAACUUUUCCUACUAAGCCUUACUUUAUAACUUUUUAUGACAAGUGCUGUGCAGAGAUGUUUGGUGUGGGUGUCACUGCCUUUUUCUGUUUUCAGAACUACACUGAAAAAAUAUAUAGUGUUUCCCAUGUUUCAUGAGCUGAAAUAAAAGAUCCCAGAAAUGUUCCAUACGCAUAAAAAUAAUAUUUCUCUCAAAUGUUGUGCACAAAUUUGUUUAAAUCCCUGUUAGUAAGCAUUUCUACUUUGCCAAGAUAAUCCAUCCUCCUGACAGGUGUGGC
ensembl:lncRNA